rnacentral:rRNA from 1 species
AAUAACACUCUUGGCAACAGAUAUCUCAGCUCUCGCCAUGACGAAGAAUGUAGCAAAAUGCGAUACUUAGUGUGAAUUGCAAAAUCCCGUGAAUCAUCGAGACUUUGAACGCAAGUUGCACCCGAGGCCUCAACCAAGGGCAUACUUGCUUGGGCGUCGCAC